AUUGAACGCUGGCGGCAUGCUUUACACAUGCAAGUCGAACGGUAACAGGCCUUCGGGUGCUGACGAGUGGCGAACGGGUGAGUAAUGCAUCGGAACGUGCCCAAUCGUGGGGGAGUAACGUAGCGAAAGUUACGCUAAUACCGCAUAAGCCCUGAGGGGGAAAGGCAGGGGAGUCGCAAGACCUUGCGCGAAUGGAGCGGCCGAUGUCAGAUUAGCUAGUUGGUGGGGUAAAGGACCUACCAAGGCAACGAUCUGUAGCGGGUCUGAGAGGAUGAUCCGCCACACUGGGACUGAGACACGGUCCAGACUCCUACGGGAGGCAGCAGUGGGGAAGUUUUGGACAAUGGGCGGCAAGCCUGAUCCAGCCAUGCCGCGUGAGUGAAGAAGGCCUCGG
rnacentral:rRNA from 1 species